ACGCUGUUUUCCCUCCGACAGGCUUCAUCCCGCCUCCCCUCAUCUUCGGGGCCGGCAUCGACUCCACCUGCCUGUUCUGGAGCACGUUCUGCGGGGAGCAGGGCGCCUGCGCCCUCUACGACAACGUGGCCUACCGGUACCUGUACGUCAGCAUCGCCAUCGCCCUCAAGUCCUUCGCCUUCCUCCUCUACACCACCACGUGGCAGUGCCUGAGGAAGAACUAUAAGCGCUACAUCAAAAACCACGAGGGCGGGCUGUGUACCAAAAGUCUACUAAAAAAACACAAGUCGACAACAUUGCCAGGAUAAGCACUAGUGACACACCCUGUGCCACCCUCCCGUGGGGGUGGGGCGGCACGCAGGUCGGAGGAGCGGAAGUCCCCUCCUCUCUCUGACUUUCGCAAUAUGGGUCACUGUGUAGACCACUCACCCAGUCUGCAUGAGGUUCAAGGCCCCAGAGUUCUCUCAGCGAUGCUAACGGGUGAUCAUGCUGGAGUCUGUAAUUGGCACCUCUCACCAGCUCCACUUCCCUGCUCAAGACUGAGGGCCCGAGGGGGAGCCGGGUGUGGGGGGCCAGCACCUCACCUUCCUCCCCCCACCCGAGGCACCUCCCCGUGGCGGGCGCCGCCUCCCCCAGCUCCCCCAGAGUGACCUCAGGAAGCAGAGGGCCUCGCCUGGCUAUGACUGACCUCGCUCAGAGCCGGCGAAACCCAGCCCAGUCCAAGUCAUUUGCUUAUAUUUGCCAAACAUUUUGCCAUUUUUUAGGGGAAAAAGAAAAAAGAAAAAAAGCAAUGCAUAUGAAUUUCAAACUGUUGUAUGUAUAAUCCUCUAAUACUAUUUUUAACUACUUCUUAAUUCUGUGUUCACCCUUCAGCCACUAACACAGUUCUCUAGGCCGAAUUUACUAUGCUGGUUGCUUUUACGUUCCUCCUUUUUUUAAUGCACCAAAAAUAUAAUGUGAUUCAAGGGAUGCAAUUCA